GAGUUUUCUCAAUACGCCCUGCCGGCAGAAAUAACUAUAAACUAUCAAAAGAAAAGCUAAACAAAUGUUUCCGAUAUGCUAAAAUUCCCCCCACAAUCCCAUAAUCCCACAGUCCAGCGACACGUGGGCAAAUGUUCCGUAUCUGAAACAGGAGAGGGAUGGAAACCACGGCAGCCAAGACAACAAGGAGGGGGCUCCUGUCGCAGACCUGUCUCCUCCUGACAGCGCGUCAUGGCACAGUCCCGCCCCAUUCCACACCUGAACACGGCCUCCCUCGUAGCACCGCCAGAUGCAGGCAGAGGGACACCCCUGCCCUGCUGUGGAUUGCGGACAUCGCCUCCCUCUGUCGCUGUUCCUGCCGUCGGGACUGGAUCGCCGUGUUCCGCUGGCCGGUCCGUCGGUGAACGACUCGUGGCAGCCCACAGUCGGGCAGCAGGUCCUUCGACACAUAUGCUGGCUUGCACGCGUUUCUUUUCCUCCUGCUCACCUUUCAUCAGAAAAUCAUCACAGCUGAUAUUGGAGACAGUGUCAUUCUGCCAUGUCGAGUUACAAACAAGAUCACAGCUGUAAAGUGGAUCAAACACUACCUGGGAGAGAAAAUUGUCUUUUUGUACCAGGAUAAUAAAGUUGAUUCAGAUAACCAGAAUUCAUUUUAUAAGAACCGGGUGGAUCUGAAGGACAGACAUAUGAAGGAUGGAGACGUGUCUAUAAUUCUGAAGGAUGUGACGAUUUAUGAUAAUGGAACAUACCACUGUCAUGUUAAAGUAGCAGGAACAAACUCAUGGAAAUACAUCAGCUACAUCUACCUUCAUGUUGUUCCUCCAGGUCGAUCAGGAGGACUGGGUGGAUCUAUUGGACUGAUUGUAGGUGUGGUAGUUGCUGUUAUGGUUGUUUCUCUUUGUCUUUCUUUCUGUUUCUGUACAGCUCUGAGAAAUAUUGUCACACGCUAUCUUCAGACCAGAGCACAACCGCGAGUCAUAUGAUCUAAACAGACGAAAUUUAAGGUUGUACUUUUGUUUCCUUUGCCUGUGUGAAAGACACUGAGAUCAUUUUGUGAGUAAUGUGAUACAGUUUAUUAAAACAGUAUGUCUGUAUGUGGUUUUGCUAAUAGUUAAUUUUGCUUAAUUACAAUCAAAAUAUGCUCAA